rnacentral:lncRNA from 1 species
GAAAGUUUACAUGGUAAAGAUAUCUUAGAUGGACUACAUAAAUAGAAAGAGCUAUCAUUAGAAGCAGAAUAACAAAUGUUUGGUAUUGAGUAUCAAUUAAUAUGGUUCCUGAAUUGAAUAUUUAUAAGUAAUAGAUUUUAGCAAGUAGAACAGUUAUAUUCUCCGUAGCUGAGAUUAAUUGAACAUUUCAAUCGGCGUAUGAAGGGAGGUCAUCAUUUUUAAUGGUCGGUAACGAAAGGAAAAUUGAUACUGACCGAGGAUAGUUGGAUAGUUGAUACUGACCGGGGAUAGUUGGAUAGUUGAUACUGACCGAGGAAAGUUGGAUAGUUGAUACUGACCGAGGAUAGUUGAUACUGACCGAGGAUAGUUGAUACUGACCGAGGAUAGUUGGAUAUAGGUGGUGGCGGAAAAGGGACCAAUACGAUUUGACGUAAAAACAACAAACACGUAAAAUCAGCAAUAGAAGCGACAUAAAACUGAAUACCAAAAGAAACCAACAGAAUAACAAAAAGGCGCUUAUUAUCAAACAAACUAUAGACAUAUUCGAAUGCAACAGAUUAUUUCAACUACUAUUUUCAAAAUCUGAUUCUCCAAUAAGCAUCAGUGUCUAGGUAUAGACAAACAAAACACACUGGGGAUCCAGGAACAAACUUUUGUGACAUAAAUUGAUGUGAAAUUCCGGAUCCGAGUAAUGGUCUAGCAAAAAUCAUGAUAUGAUUAUUUGCCCUUCGUGUCUUCUUCC